rnacentral:rRNA from 1 species
UACAGAGGUCUCAAGCGUUUGUUCGGAUUCAUUGGGCGUAAAGGGUGCGUAGGUGGCGCGCUAAGUCAGGUGUGAAAUUUCGGAGCUUAACUCCGAAACUGCAUUUGAUACUGGCGUGCUUGAGGACUGGAGAGGAGACUGGAAUUCAUGGUGUAGCAGUGAAAUGCGUAGAGAUCAUGAGGAAGACCAGUGGCGAAGGCGGGUCUCUGGACAGUUCCUGACACUGAGGCACGAAGGCCAGGGGAGCAAACGGG